rnacentral:lncRNA from 1 species
AAAAUUUUCAUUCUAGCUUUUCAUUGAAUAUAGUAAGUUCCAUCAAACAGUGGAGGUCUGUUUAUGGAAAGUCCCUCGGCAAAUAAUAUGUUAUGUGGGGUUGUCAUAAUCUUUAGCUCUAGUCGGUUAAGACUAUAAUUAAUAGAAGAGCACCUGCUCUGAUACCACUUGUUGCCCAAGGUGACAACCCAAGAGAGGGGGGUGAAUUGGGUUUUCUAAAAAUUAUGUUCCCUAAUUUUUACUUUGAAUAGAAUGCAGCGGAAUGAUAAGAUGUUAUUUACUUAAGCUCUAGGCAAUUACAAGUAAAGCAGUGGAAAAUUAAGCUAGAGCAAUUAUACUAUGGCUUUAGGGUGCAAUUGAUCUAAAAUUAACUUAUAGUUGUAUGAUCAAUUUUAAUCUAUGUUUAUGGUAAGAAUGGAGUGGAAGCUAAACAAAUUCUAAACAAUCACUUAUAACUCUAUAGAAAACAAAGCUAGAGAUAUUACACAAUCAAGCAUGAAUGUAAGGCAUGAAAUAUAAGAGAUAAGGCAUCACAAACACAAAGAUGUAUAGUGGUUCGGUGCACCCCAGCACCUACAUCCACUCCCCAAGACCUCUUGGAAAUUUCACUAUAAUCCCUCAGAUUACAGUCGGUUGUUUUACAAGCUCACAAUCCAACUUGUUGUUUUGCGAGAUCACAACGAACUCGGUCGGUUUUCACAGGCUCACCGACUAGAACCAACCGAUUGUUUUCACGGGCUCACAAUCCAACCCAGUUGGUUUUUCCAAAGGCUCACCAACCACAACCUUACAACGAUUGUUUUCCG